GCCGGAAUAGCUCAGUUGGUAGAGCAGAGACUGAAAAUCCUCGUGUCACC
rnacentral:tRNA from 1 species